ensembl:lncRNA
GAAAUAAUAAGGAAAAGGGGGGCUUCCCUUGUGGCUCAGUGCUAAAAAAAAAAUUGGCCUGACAAUUCAAGAGACUCAGGUUUGAUCCCCAGUCCAGGAAGAUCCCACGUGCCGCAGAGCAACUAAGUCCGAGAGCCACAGCUGUGCUCUAGCAUCUGGGAGCUACAACUGCUGAAGCCCCCGUGCCUAGAGCUCUGAAACAAGAGAAGCCACGCAAUGAGAAGCCCGAGCUCCCCAACCAGAGAGUAGCCCCCGCUCACAAGCAGAGAGAAAGCCUGAGCAGCAACAAAGACCCAGCACAGCCAAAAGCAAAACAAACUUAAAAUAUUUUUUAAAAAAAUAAAAUAAGAAAAAGAAGAAUUCCCACUCCCCCUCCCCCACCAAGAUGCUAAGAUGUCUUCAGACUCCGGAAGGCUCCACUUACCAAGAUCAGUGGCUUAAACUACUGAAGCAUGAUUCUCAAAACUGACGACUUCCAUCAUGUUCUCAUAUAUACAACCUCCUCUGAUCUUCCUAACCGCUGCCUCUCUCAGAUCUUUGCUUCUGAACCAAGUCAGUGGCUGGGUUCCUUGUCUGCACCCCCAUCCCAGGGCAGCUUGGAGACACCCGAGACUGUGUUCAGCUCCCUUGUGUCACACUGACAACCCCAUUCUUCAUUGCUUUCCUACUGGGUGCUCCUAUAAAAAUGGCAGAUGCUGUAAAGCUCAGGAGCCUGUCUCUCUCCUUGCUUUAUCUGAGUUGCCAAGCUCCUCUCUGCUGUCAUUAUAUCUUCCUUUGUUUUAUCCCAUCCUCUUGAGUAUACAGCAUUAUCUGUAUUUUCACACUCCUACUCAAAUUUCUCCCUAAGGCCUUCUUGAUCUCCACUGCCUUCCCAUAGUGAGGGGUCAAAUGAGUUUAAGCUAAAAGCCUGGCCCUGCUACCAACACGAGGUGACUCUGAACAAGGUUCUGAGCUUAGGAGUCUUAUCUUUAAAAAUAGGUAUAAGGGAUACCAUGAAAAGUGAGAAAUAAAGAAAAUUAGAUCACCUGCUGAGAUUAACAUCGAAGAGAGCCGAGCUGGGAUUACAGAUGGGCAGACAGAGGAAAAGUGGUUCCCAGGCAAGCAAGAAAGGACCGCGAAGGGAUUGAUGGCAUUAAUACAUCCAAAUAAAUAAUAUGUUGACUUCUAAAGGGGCUUAAUCUCAGCAACCUAAAACCUGAGCCUCACUGAGUCAAAAGUAAGCAGGGCCCAUCCCUACUCCCUGCAGAAGCAGCAGCCUUGGCUACUAGACUUUGACUAGUAACAGCCAUUGACAAAGCCAGCCUCCCUUUGGAAAUCUGUGUCUGCUUGACAUGUUUGUUUCGUUGGAUUUUAUUAUUUAUUCACGUGUUUGUCGCAUGCUUUCUCUAGCUGCGGCGAGCGAGGCUCACUCUCCCGUUGCAGAGCUCGGGCUUCUCAUUUCAGAAUCAGGCCCUAGAGUUAAGAUUUCAGAAGACAAGCUCUAGCUGUGGUACACCACCAGCUCAGUUGCCCUGCAGCAUGUGACGUCCUCCCGGACCAGGGAUCAAACCCAUGUCCCUCACGUUGGCAGGCAGACUCUCCACCACUGGACCACCAGGAAAGUCCUGCUUUAAAUAUCUGCAUCAUCUAAUUAACUUUAAAAAGCUCUUCCUUGGCUUUCCCAUUGAACUUAAAUUGAAACUUCUCACCCACAGCAGCUCCUUCUCAGGUGAGCUGACCCCUGCCUGCCUUACCACAUCUAAGAACGCCAUUCCCUCUGGUAUUCACAGAACUCCAACCACCUGCCUGACCACCCCCCUCUGCCUCAAGGGAGCCAGGACCUUGGCCUGGGGCUCCCCCACUUCUCAGCACAACUGGCUUUAAGCCUCAGAGCUCCCCUUAAUUGCCCUGCCCCAGCAGGACUUCCCUGCCACCCGUUCAUUCUAUCACAUCAACCCAUUUUAUUGUCUACACAGUACUUGGUGCUACUAAAAUCCUCUUGGUCCCUUAUGUGAUCACUUGUUUUACCUGGUUCUGAAAUUUCAGGAGAACAAAAACCUCACCUGUCUCAUUCACCCCUGACUCUCCAGCACCUACCAAGGUGCCUUUCCUGAUUGAAAAAAUAAACAGAGGAAUGAGAGAUCAAUUGACUCUUUCAUUUAUUUAACUUAAGCUGACCAAAUCAACUGUGAUCCGGGUUUGGUGGUCUAUUGGGAAAGAGUAUUAAACUGACGGUGGACAUGUAGUUUUCUGAUUCUUGUAAUAGCUACGGUUCACCUUGAAAUUAAUGUUAUCUUUUUAAAGUCUAAGGGUUUGGUAAUUAUUGUUGAUGUCUAUAUUUACCAUUAUUAUUCAUUACUGUUAAUGAUGUGACAGCCAUCAAUGAGAACUUUAUCAUCCACUGAGUCUUCAUGAAAGUAGAAUCUACAAGAUUAGUGCUGUUACUGGUCCAUGUUGCAGAUUAAGAAACUGAGGCUCAGGGAGCUUAAGUGACUGUAUAAAUUCUCACCGUAGGGAACGGCAGAGGCAGAUUUUAAAUUGAGGUUGAAAAUGAAAGUAUUGAUCACUCAGUUGUGUUCAACUCUUUGUGACCCCAUGGACUGUAGCUCUUCAGAAUCCUUUUCCAUGGGAUUCUUCGGGCAAGAAUACUGGAGUGAGUGGCCACUGCCAUCUCCAGGGGAUCUUCCCAACCCAAGGANNNNNNNNNNNNNNNNNNNNNNNNNNNNNNNNNNNNNNNNNNNNNNNNNNNNNNNNNNNNNNNNNNNNNNNNNNNNNNNNNNNNNNNNNNNNNNNNNNNUGAACCCAGGUCUCCAGCAUUGCAGGUUGGUCUGAUGCAAAAGCUGGUGUGCUCAUCCCAAGGCCCACAGUUGGCACUGAGCUCUACCUGCCCAGCCUCACCCAGGGGAUUCGACUCACCCUCUCUCUUGGUCUUUGGGGAUGAUGACUCCCCCUCACCCUACACCUUCCAGAAGCCUGGCCCCUCAGUGCGCAGCCACCCAUACCCAGAGUUGUCAGUCUUUUUCUUUUAAAUUGUGGCCAGAUACAACCUUUAGGGAAGGAGUGAAGAUGAGACCUGUUAGUUUUUUGUUUGUUCACAUUGUUUUUUUAAUUUAUCUUUUCAAGUCUUUAUUGAACUUGCUACUAUAUUGUUUCUAUUUUACGUUGUUUUUUUUCUUUUUUUGGGGGUGAAAUGUGGAAUCUUACCUCCCCAACCAGGCAUUCAGUUCACAUCCCUUGCAUUAAAGGCAAAGGCUUUUUUUUUUUUUGGAAGGCAAAGUCGUAACCACUGAACCACCAGGGAAGUCCCUGCUUUGUUUUUUUAGAAGCUCAGUUCUUAAUAUAUUGAAGGUCAGAGUGGAAUGUACAAAUCAGUAAUAAUAAUAAUGCUGUUCAUUAGAUUGGUGCUUGGGAAAACAGCCAUAUUCUCUGAUUUUUUUUAAAGAAGUAAUUUCUUUUUCUUAGUAUUUUAUUCAUCUAUUAUUUAUUUAUUUAUUUGGCUCCUCCAGGACUUAGUUGCCAGCCUGUGGUAUCUCAUUCCCUGACCAAAGAGUUCCCCAUGUUCCCUUAUUGAUAAGAAGGCCUGACGUUUGUGCAGCCCUUAAGCAUUUACAAAGGGCUUUCACUCCGUUAUCUCAUGUUUCCCUUACACUAGCCUUUCCCAGAAGAGGCUACGUGGGCCAGUAGAGAGGAGGCGAUCUUAGAAAGAGAUAAACCUGGGUCCCCUCCUGGCCCACCACCAAGGAGCCAUGAGACCGUGGGCAGGUCACUUGAUUUGAGUCCCUUUUUGAAAAAAAAAAUUAUAUAUACAAUAUCUCAUUGUAGUUUUGAUUUCAUUUCAUUUCAGUUCAGUUCAGUUCAGUGGCUCAGUUAUGUCCGACUCUCUGCGACCCCAUGGACUGCAGCACACCAGGCCUCCUUGUCCAUCACCA